rnacentral:tRNA from 1 species
GUUCCUGUAGUGCAAUGCAGAGCGCGUUGGACUUCUAAUCCAAAAGUCGUGGGUUCGUAUCUCACCUGGGAUG